UACGUAGGGCGCAAGCGUUAUCCGGAAUUAUUGGGCGUAAAGAGCUCGUAGGCGGUUUGUCGCGUCUGCCGUGAAAAUCCGAGGCUCAACCUCGGACUUGCGGUGGGUACGGGCAGACUAGAGUGCGGUAGGGGAGACUGGAAUUCCUGGUGUAGCGGUGAAAUGCGCAGAUAUCAGGAGGAACACCGGUGGCGAAGGCGGGUCUCUGGUACGUGACUGACGCUGAGACGCGAAAGCGUGGGGAGCGAACAGG
rnacentral:rRNA from 1 species